GAAAACCAUCAGCAGCCGAGAGACCCUCUCUUUCCGAACUCUCGUUUCUGUUUUUUUUUUCCUCUAGAUCUGCAAUUUCUCAACCUUUAGUCUCUUGUUGAUCUCUGUCUCUUACUCUUUAUGUUCCUGAUUCAUGUUGUUUAUUUGAAGCGAUCGACGAAGAAUACCUAAAACCUAGAACACAAACUCCUCGUCAAAUAUCAUCAUCAAUGGUUUGGGUGAUAUGGGGGUUUCCAAUUUUUAGCAAUUCGAGCUUUUUGAACUGAUUUGUUCAACUCACGGAUACGAGGAUGAACCAGUUGAGGAUGGUUAUGAAUGAGAUGAAGAGGAGGUUGAAAUUAACAAUCUUGCUGCUGGAGGGGAUGUGGUUGUAGAAGGUGAAGAGAAAGAAGAAGUUGAACCGGUUCAAGAGAUGGGAAGAUGUCUUAGUUUAUGGCUAAGUAUGAACAUCAUCAAUUCAUUGUGUGAUAGGUCAUGGGAUGUGAUUAGAAGGAACUCUCCAUCACGAGAUCAUAUAACAACUUAUUACCGGGUCACGAACAUCUCACUAAAAGGGGUAUAAGUCUUUAUCUUCGUAUGUAUGAUAUACUAGAAUGAAUGAAUAUAUGAUGCAUGCUCCUUGUGUACGUUUUAUAUGUUGUAAGUCUAAAAUCUCUAUAAUGUGAAGCUAAUAAAUAUUUAUAAUAAUAAGAGAGUUUGUAUCUAAUCACGGAAAUGGAUAUCAUUUGGGAUAAGCUUCCUUCAAAUUGUCAACGUUUUCACGAGAAGAGUUUAGACAUCAGGUUCAUUUCUUUCAGUCACCAGUUAACAAGCAAGAAGGAGAUCAGGUUUUGUUGUCGUAGUCGUCGAGACCAAGCAGUGGUGUUAUGGCUGUUCACCAUGGAGCAAGACUCCCAGAAGAAGAAGAAGAAGAAGGAAGAUGGAGUGUAUCUGUUGGUGUUGAAACUGAAGAAACAUGGAGGAAGUAAACUCUGCUGCCAUACAAAUUCAAAGUGAAAGAGGAGAUCAAAGAAGGGAUAACUAGCCUGCAAAGGAUUAAGAUGAAUUGGGGUUUAUCUGUAUUUCAUAUCUGUAGGGAAUGAGAUGCAAUUGUCUUUGAAACCGACAACAUGCUCAUGUUUCCUUCAUCACCAUAAAAUGCACACUUGGUGCCUGUAGAAAUGCCUGAAAGACGUUUCUUCACAACUCAGAGUGGCUCGAGCGUAUGGUUUGUUGGCUCGAGUUCAGGGAUGGAUUGAGCUCGAUUUGGAGCUGAUUUUAGGUGUUGAACUAGAAUUGUAUGGGCAUCAGAAGUGGUUAAAUUUGUGGUGAUUUGGCUGAGUUCUGGCAGUAACAUAACAAGAAGGAAUGAGUAGUUGUUGGACUGAGAUGGGCAUUAACAAGGAUUUUGGGUGAUGUUAGAAAUCAAAGAAGACAGAGAAGAACCUGAUGUUGUUGUUGCUAUAACUGAAGUCCCAUAGAACUGCAAGAUGGACACAGUUGAAUCCAUAAGGUAUCGAUGGGUCUCCUCUACAGACAUAUAUAUUCAUGGGACCAAGAUACUACCAGAAGCUGAAGCACAUGGCAUAUUGUUCAGAAGAUCUUAAACUAAAAGUUGGUUAUGAUUCAGCGGUGCGACUUGGCUGGGCAUCUCUUUGGAAAGAGAGGAAAACAAAAUUGCAGCAGAAAUCAAGAAGCUUCGAUUGAAAUAUUAAGAUCUUCACAAACUGAAGAUUUGGUGUGUUUCUUGCUGUCACCUACGUACUGUAUCAAUCAGUUGAAGAAGACACCUAAAAGAUGGGAGGUGUAGAAAUUGUUUAAGGGAAUUUCCUGGUAAAGCCCUAUGAUAAUUCGGUUUGGUUCAAGCUGUGGUUCUUCAUCUUCUACAUUUUAUCUUAUUCCAGGCUGUAGCUGAGAGUUUACUAAGGGGGUCCGUGGUACCAGUGAUUGGAACUUCAGAGUUUGAAGAAUAUCGCCGAGAUGAUCAGUUCAGUUCUGGAAACAAACUAGCUCAACUACUGAGCUUCACUCAUCAGAAGUCCCAACACUUACUGAGUCUCAUUGGUCUCUAGUAUCUUUCAGGUUCUUCAUCAUCUUGGUCGUAUUUACAAGACGAGAAUUCAGCAUCCUCGUGUGACCAUCCUCUCAAAGCCACAAUAAUCUGCUACAUUCUGAUUACUCACUGUAAGAGAUUGUAACAUUCUGUUUCUAUAUGGAAUCCUUAGAAGCUAAAACAAACAUGGUUGCACCAGCGCAAUGUAAGAAACAAGAACAUUUUUACAUA